rnacentral:rRNA from 1 species
UAGAGUUUGAUCCUGGCUCAGAACGAACGCUGGCGGCAGGCUUAACACAUGCAAGUCGAGCGCCCCGCAAGGGGAGCGGCAGACGGGUGAGUAACGCGUGGGAACGUACCUUUUGCUACGGAAUAACUCAGGGAAACUUGUGCUAAUACCGUAUGUGCCCUUCGGGGGAAAGAUUUAUCGGCAAAGGAUCGGCCCGCGUUGGAUUAGCUAGUUGGUGAGGUAAAGGCUCACCAAGGCGACGAUCCAUAGCUGGUCUGAGAGGAUGAUCAGCCACACUGGGACUGAGACACGGCCCAGACUCCUACGGGAGGCAGCAGUGGGGAAUAUUGGACAAUGGGCGCAAGCCUGAUCCAGCCAUGCCGCGUGAGUGAUGAAGGCCCUAGGGUUGUAAAGCUCUUUCACCGGUGAAGAUAAUGACGGUAACCGGAGAAGAAGCCCCGGCUAACUUCGUGCCAGCAGCCGCGGUAAU